rnacentral:rRNA from 1 species
GACGAACGCUGGCGGCGUGCCUAAUACAUGCAAGUCGAGCGGAUUAAGCGUUUCUUCGGAAACGCCUAGUUAGCGGCGGACGGGUGAGUAACACGUGGGUAACCUGCCUGUAAGACUGGGAUAACAUUCGGAAACGAAUGCUAAUACCGGAUACGCGGUUUGGUCGCAUGACCGAAUCGGGAAAGAUGGAGCAAUCUAUCACUUACAGAUGGACCCGCGGCGCAUUAGCUAGUUGGUGAGGUAACGGCUCACCAAGGCGACGAUGCGUAGCCGACCUGAGAGGGUGAUCGGCCACACUGGGACUGAGACACGGCCCAGACUCCUACGGGAGGCUG